rnacentral:rRNA from 1 species
AGAGUUUGAUCAUGGCUCAGGACGAACGCUGGCGGCGUGCCUAACACAUGCAAGUCGAGCGGGGUCCAUCCAGUGGCAACACUGGGGAAGACCUAGCGGCGAACGGGUGAGUAACACGUGAGAAACCUGCCCUGAAGUCUGGGAUAACCCGAGGAAACUCGAGCUAAUACCGGAUGCCCCCACCGAGUCGCAUGGCUUGGUGAGGAAAGAUUCAUCGCUUCAGGAGGGUCUCGCGGCCUAUCAGCUAGUUGGCGGGGUAACGGCCCACCAAGGCAUCGACGGGUAGCUGGUCUGAGAGGACGAUCAGCCACACUGGGACUGAGACACGGCCCAGACUCCUACGGGAGGCAGCAGUGGGGAAUAUUGCGCAAUGGGCGAAAGCCUGACGCAGCAACGCCGCGUGCGGGAUGACGGCCUUCGGGUUGUAAACCGCUUUCAGUGGGGACGAAAACAGACGGUACCCACAGAAGAAGCCCCGGCCAACUACGUG